AGGACGAACGCUGGCGGCGUGCUUAACACAUGCAAGUCGAACGAGGUGCUUCGGCACUUAGUGGCGAACGGGUGAGUAACACGUGAGCAACCUGCCCUUGGCUCUGGGAUAGCCUCUGGAAAACGGGGAUUAAUACCGGACAUGACCUGCUCCUGCAUGGGGGCGGGUGGAAAGUUUUUCGGCCAGGGAGGGGCUCGCGGCCUAUCAGCUUGUUGGGGGGGUAACGGCCCACCAAGGCGACGACGGGUAG
rnacentral:rRNA from 1 species